GGCAAAGCAAAUUCAUUUGUCUUUUAGCAAUAAAUCUUGGAAGCAGAAUACUGGUUUUGGUAAUACAGGAUACAAUUACCCUAAAAAUCUGGAUGCUAAACCAGAGAAGCAAAUGACAGAAAACCAGUUCCCUGGUUGACUGCAAAAGCUUAGAAGUCUCAGUAUCUCAGACCAUUACUAUUUUCACCAAUUAUUUACUGAUUUCAAAAUAAAACCAAAAUAAACUCUAGCAAGUGCUACAAAAGAUUCCCAUAUGGGAAAAAAAGGUCUUUAUAAAGACUGAAACAAGUGCUAAAUAGGCUUUGGCAGAGCGAAAGAAACACCUAAAAAGAGUCAACUCUUUGGAAUUGUCGAUUUCCAAGAGCAAGAAAGCUACUACUUCCCCCAAGUGGACAACCAAAGUUCAGCCGAAUAAUAAGGUUUUUAAGGGAUAAGGCAGCAAGGAUGUACAUAAUCAGACGGUGCAUCACUAUGCUGCUUUGCUGGAAGGAGCAUGAACAUCAGUAAUGCUGGUAAGUUGAACAUUCACCAGACUAGCGUCCUGCCAAAGAAUAGCAUAUGUAUGUGUCACUUUUGUUAAGCUAUACUAAGAACCUCUUGUGCAUACAAUGGGGAGACAAGGAAGUAAGAUGAAUGAUAUUGGCACCAUAAAUCUACUCUUAUUUUACUUAUGCUUGCAAAGAGUAUAUAGAUUUUCUUGGAAUUUUAUUUCUCUGGGCAUUUUCAUAAGGGCAAUGCUAAAACAAUAUAAUGGAAUAAUUCCCUAUACAGUGCAGAUUCUGCUUUUGAUAAACAAAUAUAAAGAAUCUGACGCAAGAAGAGGAAGUGAAUUCAACAAACAAAGAAACAAAGGGGUCAAGUGUGUCAAAUAAAACAGCAUCAUGACUACCUAAUAGGACAUAACAAUUUCUAUAACAUCCCCUGCUCCCAUUCAAGAUGAAAUCAAACUCGAAACAUUUCUACACAAUAAUUACUCCAUUGGUAGGAUAAUCCAAGCCCACUAGAUUCACAACCACAAGGGUCAGGCUACUUACACAUGAUACCCCUGCCUAUAAAAUUCAUCAUACAUAGAAGAGUUAGUUCAAACAAACCUUCAGCAAUUACUUCUAAACUGGGUGUUCACAGCACAAUUUGGUAAUGGAAAAUCACUGUUAGAUUGGCUCCCCUCCAACCCAUCAAACAAACCUUCAGCAAUGACAUAAAAUGGGAGUUCACAGCACAAUGCCCUAAUGGAAAAAUCACUUUUAUAUUGGCUUAUUCCCAACCCAAAAAAAUAAUGGCCCAAGUUAAAUUGAUAGUCAAUAGUCGCAGUUAAAAAGGUAAAAGUAAAACCCCAACCCAAAAAUAAUGGCCUGAGUUAAAUUGAUAAUCAGGAGUAGCAGUUAAAAGGUAAAACUCACUUUGCAGAAGUAAUCAAAGAUAGAAGGUUAAGUCAUCAUAAAUUUUGAAUUGCCUGUUAAAAUAAGCUUCUUUAAAAUUUUCCAAAGCACUUAACAAAUUCUCUUUGACCAUCAUUUUAGAGAAUGAAUUCUAUACCUAGUUUAUUAGAAAAAAAAAAUUGCAACACCUGUUGUGUCAUCUUGCGAUAAAAUUCUAGCUGAGAUACAUUUGUUACACCAUUUCUAUUAAUCUAUAAUCAAUCAAAUAAUAAUAUAUUUGAAUACCCAACAUGUUACUGCUUUCUCCUAAUGGCAUUAUCUAUGUCACCACUACUGUCAUACAUCCAUAAAACCAAACAUACAC
rnacentral:misc_RNA from 1 species